AAGAUUUUAAGUUAUAGNAACUAAGAGCCUUCAAAGCUCCCAAAAAAAGUUAAACUCUUUUAARUCUUA
rnacentral:tRNA from 1 species